rnacentral:rRNA from 1 species
GACGAACGCUGGCGGCGUGCCUAAUACAUGCAAGUAGAACGCUGAAGAAGAGGAGCUUGCUCUUCUUGGAUGAGUUGCGAACGGGUGAGUAACGCGUAGGUAACCUGCCUUGUAGCGGGGGAUAACUAUUGGAAACGAUAGCUAAUACCGCAUAACAAUGGAUGACACAUGUCAUUUAUUUGAAAGGGGCAAUUGCUCCACUACAAGAUGGACCUGCGUUGUAUUAGCUAGUAGGUGAGGUAACGGCUCACCUAGGCGACGAUACAUAGCCGACCUGAGAGGGUGAUCGGCCACACUGGGACUGAGACACGGCCCAGACUCCUACGGGAGGCAGCAGUAGGGAAUCUUCGGCAAUGGGGGCAACCCUGACCGAGCAACGCCGCGUGAGUGAAGAAGGUUUUCGGAUCGUAAAGCUCUGUUGUAAGUCAAGAACGAGUGUGAGAGUGGAAAGUUCACACUGUGACGGUAGCUUACCAGAAAGGGACGGCUAACUACGUGCCAGCAGCCGCGGUAAUACGUAGGUCCCGAGCGUUGUCCGGAUUUAUUGGGCGUAAAGCGAGCGCAGGCGGUUUGAUAAGUCUGAAGUUAAAGGCUGUGGCUCAACCAUAGUUCGCUUUGGAAACUGUCAAACUUGAGUGCAGAAGGGGAGAGUGGAAUUCCAUGUGUAGCGGUGAAAUGCGUAGAUAUAUGGAGGAACACCGGUGGCGAAAGCGGCUCUCUGGUCUGUAACUGACGCUGAGGCUCGAAAGCGUGGGGAGCGAACAGGAUUAGAUACCCUGGUAGUCCACGCCGUAAACGAUGAGUGCUAGGUGUUGGAUCCUUUCCGGGAUUCAGUGCCGCAGCUAACGCAUUAAGCACUCCGCCUGGGGAGUACGACCGCAAGGUUGAAACUCAAAGGAAUUGACGGGGGCCCGCACAAGUGGUGGAGCAUGUGGUUUAAUUCGAAGCAACGCGAAGAACCUUACCAGGUCUUGACAUCCCGAUGCUAUUUCUAGAGAUAGAAAGUUACUUCGGUACAUCGGUGACAGGUGGUGCAUGGUUGUCGUCAGCUCGUGUCGUGAGAUGUUGGGUUAAGUCCCGCAACGAGCGCAACCCCUAUUGUUAGUUGCCAUCAUUCAGUUGGGCACUCUAGCGAGACUGCCGGUAAUAAACCGGAGGAAGGUGGGGAUGACGUCAAAUCAUCAUGCCCCUUAUGACCUGGGCUACACACGUGCUACAAUGGUUGGUACAACGAGUUGCGAGUCGGUGACGGCAAGCUAAUCUCUUAAAGCCAAUCUCAGUUCGGAUUGUAGGCUGCAACUCGCCUACAUGAAGUCGGAAUCGCUAGUAAUCGCGGAUCAGCACGCCGCGGUGAAUACGUUCCCGGGCCU